GGCCUCAAUGUUGCACUGGUGAGCUGAGAUCUCAGCAAGUUACGUCGGGAGGCAGAGGACAUUGAGAGACUCCAUGGUAAGGAAACAAGAGUCAUCCAGGUGGACUUCAGUGGAGGCUUAGAGAUCUAUGAGACAGUUGAGAGAGGCUUGGAGGGCCUAGACAUCGGCAUUCUAGUCAACAAUGUUGGAGUAGCUCCCAAGAUAAUCCCCCAGAAGCUAAUGGAUGUGAAGAAUCCAGGCAAGAGUUUCACAGAUGUGAUGAAUUGUAACAUGCUGUCAAUGGUUCAGGGGAUGAGGAGUCAUCAUCAACAUAUCCUCUGAGGCUGGCAGACAGCCUUCCCCAUUCUUGGCGUUAUGUGGGACUACUAAGGACUUGGAAGAAUGUCAUGUAGACAAGAACCACUCUUGUUCUCGUUGAACCCAGAGGGCAGAACCAGGAGCAAUGAGGCCUUUAUGAAUAGCUUCUCUCGGGCUGUGGCCUUGGAAUACCGGUCCUCUGGAGUCAUCAUACAGACUCUUACUCCUCUGGUAGUUUCCAGUAACAUGAGCCAGAUGCCACCCA